UUGUAUAGAAAAAGAUUAUUGUCCCUUACUGGAUCCAGAUUUCAACAUAACACAACAUCAAAUUGAAACCAACUUUCUCAAGGUGAUGUUGUAUUUUGAGGACUUAAACCAACAGCUUAUUGAAGAAACUCCAAUUUAUGACGCUACAAGAUUGAUGUCUGACGUGGGGGGCUCAGUUGGACUGUGUCUAGGUGUGUCACUUUUGUGUAUUGUUGAACUGAUAGAAGUGGUUCUGGAGUUAUGUAAAGCAGGAGUAAAAAAGAUUUUUAGACGAUGAAUUAGAUAUUUUUUAUUUAAUUCAGAAUUCUGUUUACAGAAGGACAUUCUGAUUUUUUACACUCCCUAAAAGUUAUUUAGUUUUCCUACAAAGGAGUUAUAAUUGCGAAAUAAACAAAAUUAUUUGCGUGGACCUUAGUUGAGUCUCACGCCUAGUAUAUUCGUGACUAAUUGAUAUAAACUAUGGACCAUUUAAAUUCACUCGGCAUUACGAAACUUUGUAAUGCCUCGAAUAUAAUUUGAGUUAACUAAAAGAUCGUGUACCAAUUCAAAAUGAUACUAUAUGCACCAGAAUCACAUUUUCAUUGUUUUCCAAAAGGAAGUUCAAUUUUGCAAACAAAGGGAGACAAGACAUGUUAAAGGACAUCAUUUAGUUUAGUGGAUCAUUUAUAAGAUUUUUUUCCAAAUCAAAUUCUAAUUCUAAAACAAGUUAACCCUAUUAAGUAACCUUUCAACUGUUUAUUUCUAAGGUUUAUCAAAUGAAGCAACAACAAAAAAAUAAACUGUUAAUACAGAUAUGUGUCUCGACUGCACGUAAUUUUGAUAGUUAAAUGCAAACGUUGAAAUUAAAAUUGCAAAACUUAAAAAUGUAAAACUAGGCAAAUCAUUCAAAGUCAACCAACCUAGAUUGAAGGUCCAAGGCAAAAUAAUUUCCCUUGUUUUUAUACAUAGCAAGAAAGUGAACGUUUCAAUAUCUGUAGUUACCUUUUUCCCGGGCUCAGACGAAUAAAGAAAAAUAAGAUGUGCCGCAAUGCUUAUACUACAUACCAAAUAUCAUUGACCUAUCAUGAGUGAUUUCUUUUUAUCUGAUCUAAAUCAUCAACAUACUAUCAUGACUAUUACUUUAAUAAAUCAAUGAAAAUAACACUUUAUUUGUUCCGUGCAUCCGAAGUGCUUUUCUGGGUUUAUCUUCCAUCAGGUACGCUCAAACCUAAACAUUUGAAAGCCAAGGAUGUAGAAGACCUAAACAUGUGGAAGAGCUUCAUGACCAAAUAGGACCUAAAAAUAACCAAAGUCAUGUAUUUCAACUUAUCCUGAGGGAUUUUAAAUAUUUGUUUCUUAAUAAUUUCUUUAUUUAUCAGCACUGAAGUACCCUUGGGACUACUUAUAACAGUCCACUAGCAGUGUAGUCGUAUCGACUCAGAGCUAUGAUCAGCUUUUAUAAAAUGAUUUAUUUAAUUUUGUGCGUCCAAGGCAUUUUCUGGAUUUUAGCUCAUUAUGAACGCUCAAACAUAAACAUUUGACCUAAACGGGUGAAGAGCUUAUAUAAAUAACCAAAGGGAGAUAAAAUAGCAAAAUUAAAAAAAAUUAUGCAAAAAUCCAAAUUCAAUGAACCAUGACAAAGCGGACAGGGUUAUAUAAUCUCAUUAGAUGUGUCAAUGCUAAUACAACUGCAUACCAAAUAUCAUUGACCUACCACUAGUAAUUCCCUUAAACUGACCCAAUCACAAACUAAUACUUUGUUGACGCUAACACUAGAAACAAAACGCCUAAGUCUCACCAUCGGGACUUCAUUGAGGCAAGAUAAAACCUUGAAAAGGUGCUACUAUGCAAGUUCUUUUUUACUAAUGUUUAUGGUUUCUAAUUAUCUUCUAACAUUUUGUAUAUAUACUUGAGUGUUGUGAACGUUAAAUAACGCGGUAAUAUAUUUGUGUGAACGUAAUGUCGUUCCUGGAAAUUUGACUGUUGCCAAUUUUGCGUUACGAAAUUCCGCCAACACGUGCAAUGUGGCAUUCGAAUAACAUCUUUGUUUUCUAGCUUGUUAUUAAUCCUACAUUUCUUUAGUUCCUUCUGUUUACAUGCUCUAUAUUGCUAAAUCGGUGUCAAGAUGGAUGAAAUCGUGCUUGCUUUCUAUAUAAUCCAAUAGUUAUGUACUCGCUGACAAUAGUACACAUGAUUAUUGUAAUAACCUUGAACGUUAGCGACCUAUUUUCUUGCACGCAACGUUAUUGUGUGAUUUGGCAUAUAAAAAUAGGAUUUCCCAUUGAAAACACGAUUAUGAUUUGAAUUUGAAAUGAGCAUCAGAGAAUAUUAUAUGUUAUUCAGGUCUCAGACAGGGUAUAUAAUGUGACAUUCCCGGCUUAGAGUUUAUAUUCCCUGAGCCGAAGGUAAAGGGGAUAUAAACCCUAAGCCGGGAAUGUCACAUUAUAUACCCUGACUGAAACCUGAAUUACACAUAUAUUACGGAUUACCCCUGCCUUAAUGUUUUUUCCAGUACCAGGUAUCUGUUAAAUAUUCACCAUGCAUUAUAUAUAUUCAGUAUAUGUUUAUUGUUUCUUAGAAGUAAUAUUUUGAGUAAUUCUUUUAAAUAGAAGUUUUUCAACUUUACAUAUAUUGUUAUUUUCGUUAGGUCAAUAAAGUUUUAGAUUUCA